rnacentral:rRNA from 1 species
CGCGAACGGGUGAGUAACACGUGGGUAACCUGCCUCGAUGAUCGGGACAACCCGGGGAAACUCGGGCUAAUACCGAAUGUGCUCCCUCCACAUCAGUGGAGGAUGUAAAGGAAGCUUCGGCCUCCGCAUUGAGAUGGGCCCGCGGCCAUUAGCUUGUUGGUGGGGUAAAGGCCUACCAAGGCUUCGAUGGGUAGCUGGUCUGAGAGGACGAUCAGCCACACUGGGACUGAGACACGGCCCAGACUCCUACGGGAGGCAGCAGUGGGGAAUCUUGCGCAAUGCGCGAAAGCGUGACGCAGCAACGCCGCGUGGGGGAAGACGGCCCUAGGGUUGUAAACCCCUUUCAGGAGGGACGAAGGUCGGCGCGUUAAUAGCGUGUCCGACUGACGGUACCUCCAGAAGAAGCCCCGGCUAACUACGUGCCAGCCGCCGCGG